rnacentral:rRNA from 1 species
CAGUAGCCGCGGUAAUACGUAGGGUGCGAGCGUUAAUCGGAAAUACUGGGCGUAAAGCGUGCGCAGGCGGUUCGUUAAGACAGAUGUGAAAUCCCCGGGCUUAACCUGGGAACUGCAUUUGUGACUGGCGAGCUAGAGUAUGGCAGAGGGGGGUAGAAUUCCACGUGUAGCAGUGAAAUGCGUAGAGAUGUGGAGGAAUACCGAUGGCGAAGGCAGCCCCCUGGGCCAAUACUGACGCUCAUGCACGAAAGCGUGGGGAGCAAACAGGAUUAGAUCCCGCGUAGUCCCUGUCUCUUAUACA